ACUUUCUCUAGCUCCUCCAGUUGGGGG
rnacentral:misc_RNA from 1 species